GCAGAACGGAGAGCCAUAUUUCCUUCAGGUGGCGUUCUUGUGACUAAUGACAACUUACAUCAUCAGAUCGUGGAGAUGAUCUCUUCACGUUCAUCAAUUUUUUGAUGGUAGAUGCUGUCAAUCUAGGUGUUCUGUCUGAGUGACCAAAAAAGAAAGUUGUUUUAGGUUUUAGGCGAUUCUACAAUUCUUAAAAUGACACAAGAUCGCACGAAAUAUGUACUGUAUAAAAGCUAAAGUGAAGCCAUUCGAUUAUUUCAUUGGGAUUGAUCUUCAUCUUGAUUCAAUUUGUAAUAAUGGAUAAAGGCCAAUACCAUUUGAUAUACGUACCUUCUCGAUUCGAGUAUUACAUUUUCUGGAACAGCAUUUACCGAGUUUUUUUUUUUUUUUUUCAUUUUUUCAAGGAGUUUGGUUUAUGCUUAGGAAUGGGAUGUAGCGACAAAAAGGGAAUUUUGUUCUCAGUCAUAAUAUGCUUUCAUCUAGACCAACAGAAUAUUUUUAUUUUUUCAAAGUGUUUGGGGAGUUCUAGGGGAACUGAAAAGGAAUUAUACCUCCAACAAAGCCUUAAUAAUAAUUAGAAGCCCAAUUGGUCGUCAUGCUCAAAUCUGGCCCAUGCAUAUUCUUGCAAAUGACAGUUUAUAUUUUGCAUUAUUUCCCAAAGAAAGCACCCUUGGUCUUGGUCUUGAGAUGAAUUGAACUUCUGCAUGAUUUGACUGGAAAAAAAUCACUGUUAAAUAAGAUAUUUUAUUUUAAACGGGAUAUCCGUACAAUCAGCCAAACAUUUGUACAUUUCUUUACCUUAUCACGAAAGGCACUUAACGAGAGCACGCCACGAGCUGUCUUGAUAUCGAUUGGGCACCUGGCCGGAUAAUUGGCAAAGUCAACUUUCGUCUUCGAUCAAUUAGCUUGAGGCACGCUUUGCUUCUCGUGAAUCUGGAUUCAUCGUUUGAUCAUCACUCCAAGAACACCCACCAUCCAGCGUUCCCCGCGUGUCCAGGAUUUUAGAACCCCAACCUCCCCCACCUGAUCUAGUGAAAGUUCUCGACUUCUUUCUCGUAAAAUAUCAGGUGUUUCUGAUCUUCUUUACAAAAGUACAUAUAAUUGCACACCAAUAUAGACUGCGUAGUAAUUAACAAAAACUCUAAUAAUAACAAGAGUUGAUUAAUUAGUAGUAAACUCAUUAAAGUAUGUGCAAGGUAAGCUUCUAUUGGAAAGAAUGGCACUGCGACACGAUAUCCAAAAAUAGCAUUAAUAAUAUGUGAUCAUAGUUAAACAAAUGC
rnacentral:lncRNA from 1 species